GACGAACGCUGGCGGCGUGCUUAACACAUGCAAGUCGAACGGAAAGGCCCUGAGUUUGUGGGCUGCUCGGGUGGCGAACGGGUGAGUAACACGUGAGUAACCGGCCCUAGACUUUGGGAUAGCUUCAGGAAACGGGAGCUAAUACCGUAUAGCAGCCCCCGCUGCAUGGUGGGGGUUGGAAAGUUUCGGCGGUUGGGGAUGGAUGCGCGGCUGAUCAGCUUGUUGGUGGGGUAGUGGCAUACCAAGGCUGGGACGGGUAGCCGGCCUGGGAGGGUGAACGGGCACAAUGGGACUGCGAUACGGAGCAGACGCGAACGGGAGGCAGUAGGGGGGAAUAUUGCACAAUGGGCGGGAGCCUGAUGCAGAGGCGCCGGGUGCGGGAUGACGGCUUGCGGGGUGAGAAACGCUGUCGCCUGUGACGCAGCGUGUGUGACGGUAAUCGAUAAAGAAGCACCGGCUAACUACGUG
rnacentral:rRNA from 1 species